ensembl:lncRNA
CUGAUCCGUAAGGCCAGCAAUGUUGUGGGGAUGGAGCUGGACACCCUCAAGGUGGUGUCGGAGAGGCGGAUGCUGUCCAAGAUAAAGACAAUGUUGGAUAACACCUCCCACCCACUCCAUGACAUGCUGGUCAGUCACAGGAGCACGUUCAGUGAGAGACUGAGAUUACCGAAAAGCACCACUGAACGACACAGGAAAUCAUUCCUGCCUGUGGCCAUCUCCCUGUACAACGCAUCCACUUAACACACUGUUUGCUGCUACAGCUACACAUGUUUCUUUUCCAGCUAUUUAUUUAUGAGUGACUUAUGUAUGUAUGUAUGUAUGUAUGUAUAUAUAUGUCAGGGCCGGCCCGUGGCAUAGGCCGUAUAGGCAAAUGCUAAGGGCGCCGUCCAUCAGGGGGCGCCACGCCAGUGCCACAAAUGUUGAAAAAAAAAAAAAAAGUUGGUACUAUUAUUUCUAAAUACAAAAAAUAAUCCCACGUUAAUUAAAAUGCAAAGUAAAGCUUAUUUAAUAGAAAUAUUAUUUGUUACAACAUUACGCCCCCCCUCCCCGCACGGUGCGCCCCCUCCCUCCCGUAUCAUGGUUCCUUUUGGACGUCACCACAUCAAAAAGUCAACACAAGAUGUCAAAACGGCCAAAACUGUCAGGUGGCCAGGGAAGAAAAAAGAGAAAAGAAGAGGAGGAGAAACGAGAAAAAGACAGAGAUGCGCUGUUGAAGUUUCUAAAUCCCACCCCUGGGCCAUCUACCACAUCUACCGCUGCUGCCUCCACUUCAGCAGCACAACCCACCAGUGAUGCAGCAGCAGCAUCAAGCAGUGUUAUUGUAUUUCAUAUAUUCAUUUUUUAAUUUUUUGUAUUCAUUUAUUUAUUCAUAUAUUUUUUUAUCUUGUUAAUUAUUCUGAUUGUGAAUUUGCUUUCUUUAAGUAAAAAAAAAAGGUCAAAGACAAAGCUAUUCGGUUUCUUGUGAGUACAUACACUACACUGCCGAUGUAGGGGGGCGCCACCUAAAAUCUUGCCUAGGGCGCCAGAUUGGUUAGGGCCGGGCCUGAUAUAUGUAUAUAUUGUACUAUUCUUAGUUAGUGUAUUGUCUGUCUUGUCUUAAUGUUGGUUUAAAAUGGAGCACUGUAACAAAAAAUAAUUUCCCCCAGGGUUCAAUAAAGUAUUCUGAUUCUGAUAAAU